GCCAGCAGCCAUAUCACCCUGCAACUCACAACUGGCAAUCCACUGAAGUAAAGCAGGUGUGAGCCUGGUCAGUACCUGGAUGGGAGACCUCCUGGGAAAAACUAAGGUUGUUUCUGGAA
ensembl:rRNA 5S_rRNA 5S ribosomal RNA